UACGUAGGCAGCAAGCGUUGUUCGGAGUCACUGGGCGUAAAGGGUGCGUAGGCGGCUUUUUAAGUUUGGUGUGAAAUCUCCCGGCUCAACUGGGAGGGUGCGCCGAAUACUGAGAGGCUAGAGUGUGGGAGAGGAAAGUGGAAUUCCUGGUGUAGCGGUGAAAUGCGUAGAUAUCAGGAGGAACACCGGUGGUGUAAACGGCUUUCUGGACCAUAACUGACGCUGAGGCACGAAAGCGUGGGUAGCAAACAGG
rnacentral:rRNA from 1 species